CAGCACCUCAAGUGGUCAGGAUGAUUAUUGGGCCUAAAGCAUCCGUAGCCGGCUCUGUAAGUUUUCGGUUAAAUCUGUAUGCUCAACAUACAGGCUGACGGGAAUACUGCAGCGCUAGGGAGUGGGAGAGGUAGACGGUACUCGGUAGGAAGGGGUAAAAUCCUUUGAUCUAUUGAUGACCACCUGUGGCGAAGGCGGUCUACCAGAACACGUCCGACGGUGAGGGAUGAAAGCUGGGGGAGCAAACCGGAUUAGAUACCCGAGUAGUCC
rnacentral:rRNA from 1 species